AGAGUUUGAUCCUGGCUCAGGAUGAACGCUAGCUACAGGCUUAACACAUGCAAGUCGAGGGGAAACGACAUCGAAAGCUUGCUUUUGAUGGGCGUCGACCGGCGCACGGGUGAGUAACGCGUAUCCAACCUGCCCACCACUUGUGGAUAACCUUGCGAAAGUAAGACUAAUACCCCAAUGAUAUCUCUAGAAGACAUCUGGAAGAGAUUAAAGAUUUAUCGGUGAUGGAUGGGGAUGCGUCUGAUUAGCUUGUUGGCGGGGUAACGGCCCACCAAGGCAACGAUCAGUAGGGGUUCUGAGAGGAACGGUCCCCCACAUUGGAACUGAGACACGGUACCAAACUCCGUACGGGAGGCAGCA
rnacentral:rRNA from 1 species